CAGUAGCCACGGUAAAACGAGGGGAGCUAGCGUUAUUCGGAAUUACUGGGCGUAAAGCGCACGUAGGCGGCUUUGUAAGUUAGAGGUGAAAGCCCAGAGCUCAACUCUGGAAUUGCCUUUAAGACUGCAUCGCUUGAAUCCAGGAGAGGUGAGUGGAAUUCCGAGUGUAGAGGUGAAAUUCGUAGAUAUUCGGAAGAACACCAGUGGCGAAGGCGGCUCACUGGACUGGUAUUGACGCUGAGGUGCGAAAGCGUGGGGAGCAAAUGGGAUUAGAUACCCCUGUAGUCCCUGUCUCUUAUAC
rnacentral:rRNA from 1 species